UACGGAGGGGACUAGCGUUGUUCGGAAUUACUGGGCGUAAAGCGCACGUAGGCGGUUUCUUAAGUCGGUGGUGAAAUCCUGGAGCUCAACUCCAGAACUGCCUUCGAUACUGGGAAACUUGAGUUCGGGGAGAGGUGAGUGGAACUGCGAGUGUAGAGGUGAAGUUCGUAGAUAUUCGCAAGAACACCAGUGGCGAAGGCGGCUCACUGGCCCGAUACUGACGCUGAGGUGCGAAAGCGUGGGGAGCAAACAGG
rnacentral:rRNA from 1 species